AACGAACGCUGGCGGCAGGCUUAACACAUGCAAGUCGAGCGCCCCGCAAGGGGAGCGGCAGACGGGUGAGUAACGCGUGGGAAUCUACCCAUCUCUACGGAAUAACGCAUGGAAACGUGUGCUAAUACCGUAUACGUCCUUCGGGAGAAAGAUUUAUCGGAGAUGGAUGAGCCCGCGUUGGAUUGGCUAGUUGGUGGGGUAAAGGCCUACCAAGGCGACGAUCCAUAGCUGGUCUGAGAGGAUGAUCAGCCACACUGGGACUGAGACACGGCCCAGACUCCUAGGGGAGGCAGCAGUGGGGAAUAUUGGACAAUGGGCGGAAGCCUGAUCCAGCCAUGCCGCGUGAGUGAUGAAGGCCCUAGGGUUGUAAAGCUCUUUCACCGGUGAAGAUAAUGACGGUAACCGGAGAAGAAGCCCCGGCUAACUUCGUGCCAGCCGCCGCCGUAAUAC
rnacentral:rRNA from 1 species